GACGAACGCUGGCGGCGUGCUUAACACAUGCAAGUCGAACGGAAAGGCCCUGCUUGCAGGGUACUCGAGUGGCGAACGGGUGAGUAACACGUGGGUGAUCUGCCCUGCACUUCGGGAUAAGCUUGGGAACCUGGGUCUAAUACCGGAUAGGAGCCAUCUUUAGUGUGGUGGUUGGAAAGUUUUUUCGGUGUAGGAUGAGCUCGCGGCCUAUCAGCUUGUUGGUGGGGUAAUGGCCUACCAAGGCGGCGACGGGUAGCCGGCCUGAGAGGGUGUACGGCCACAUUGGGACUGAGAUACGGCCCAGACUCCUACGGGAGGCAGCAGUGGGGAAUAUUGCACAAUGGGCGCAAGCCUGAUGCAGCGACGCCGCGUGGGGGAUGAAGGCCUUCGGGUUGUAAACUCCUUUCGCUAGGGACGAAGCUUUGUUGUGACGGUACCUAGAGAAGAAGCACCGGCUAACUACGUG
rnacentral:rRNA from 1 species